ACCCCUGUAAUCAGUGUGCUGCCUCUUUGUGAGUUUGACAAACGUGUGGCUGUGUGACCCCAAUCCACACCCCUCUCUCCCUCACAAACACAAGGCGGGGGAAGGUGUUGGCUCACUUACUAAUGCUAAAGCAUGCUUGAUAAGGUGUUCUCUCUGGGCUCAGGGACUCGUUUGCAGUGGCUGGUGUGGAUCCAGGUUGCCCUUUCCACAAUCUUCACAGCCGUUUCCGUGGUGAGGAGAAUCUGGUAGGGCCCCGUUCCACCGGCACAUGGUUCUUGCCAUGUGUCAACUUAACAUAAUGAUGGAACAGGUAUUUGGGUAAACAAGGUUUCCUUUGACUUUGUCAGUGAAAGAGCAGCCUGCUUUCUUCCAAGCAAGUCUCUCUUCCUGGGUGUUUCUGGCCUGCAAUUCCUGCAAAUUAGCUGUGAGUAUUAGUGGUGGGUUAGAAAAUGGUAAAGCAUUGAAAAGUCAGUUUUUUUAUUUACAUGCUUCUGCCAAUGCAACUAACUCUGCUGCCUGUGCAGAGUAAUUUGAGGGGAGUGAUUCAGCCAAAACAUGUUGUUUGGUUACACCCAUCUGAGUCAUGAGUAGAUGUCGCAGUUCAGUAGUUGUAGGUCUGAACUGUUGGCAAAAAAUCAGGAGCUGUUCACAUAUUCUGCUCCCCCGUUUUCGACUAAGGGGAGCUAAGAAGCGGCUUCCUUCAUGUUGUUGAAUGUCCAUGGUUUGUAAACUAACUGGGAGGUCCCGUCCCCCUGCUGGGACCUGUGGUCGUUGUUCGGGCUGAGGUGGUGUUGUAGUUGGGGCUGUGGUGGCUGCUGGAGCUGCAGCAGCUGCAUCCAUGUCGGGGUCGAGAGAGAGAGAGACACAAGAAAUAAGAGAGAGGUAGAACCCCAAAAAGCAGACUCAACAACGAAGGCACAGAUGGAGUGAUGAGAUCCCGAGGUUUAUUAAUAGAAAGGAAGGAGGGGAUGAGAACUGGACUCGGAGGACGAAUGGGGAGCAGGUCCGGGUGGCCCAGGGUGCCGGGCCGAUGUUCCGGGAAGGUGCGGCAACCCGCGGGGAGACCGGGAAGACUGGCCACCGAGCUUUAUCCGGAGGCGGGAGGCUGACGGCAGCGCUGGUCGAUCUAGGCAGAAGCGAAGAACAACAAAACAAUUAUUUCUUUCUCCAAAGGAAAACACUGUGAACGCUAGUGACUAUUCAGAGUAGACUCUGUAGUUCGGCCGGAACGUUACCGCGUGGGGUACUGAGACGAUCUGGCAGCUAGUAGCUGGAGAACCAGGGUAGAUAUCCGGCAGUGAUGAGUGGAUAUGAAACAGGUGUGACCAGUGCAACCCGUCGCGCCCCUGCAGGGAAGCAAAUCCAACACAAAAAAAAACACACACAGGGAGGCUGCCAUAACACAUAUCAUACAAUACACAUAAACACACAGAUCUCCCCUAAAAUACUAAUUUAAUUCACAACUGCAUGACAGCACUAUCAUUAUUAGAAUUAUUAAGACUAUUUCAUCCUCAUUUGUUUAGUUUUAUAUAUGUACUAUGUCAAGUUCUUGUCAAGUUGUUUGUGUGUCCAUGUGUAUUUUUGCUGUAUUUUAUUAUUCUUCUGACUGUAGGAAUAUUUAAAAAACACAUUUUGAGCUGAACCAAGGCUGUAACAUACUCUACUGUGGUGUAGAAAUAAGACUGUGAUGCCUUCAUUGACAGAACUUUAAAGAAAUGAUUCAAAGUGGCAGUGGUAAUUACAGCUGAUGGGAUAUUAGCUGUAACAAGGUUGAAGGAACCACAUAGGCUUGUUUUUCAUCUUUCCUCUGUGCUUUCCUACAUCUCCUUUCCCCAUCCCCCAACACCCAAACCCCACACUGCACUCUCCACGACCCCCCAGGAUCUUCGGGUCUCUACCAAUGAGAGCUCUACAGCAGCAUUCCUUCCC